GAUGAACGCUAGCGGCAGGCUUAAUACAUGCAAGUCGAGGGGUAACAUGGGGUAGCAAUACUCUGAUGACGACCGGCAAACGGGUGCGGAACACGUAUGCAACUUUCCCAAAACUGGUGAAUAGCCCUCCGAAAGGAGGAUUAAUACACCGUAACAUAUAGAGGUGGCAUCGCCUUUAUAUUAUAGCUCCGGCGGUUUUGGAUGGGCGUGCGCCUGAUUAGGUAGUUGGUGUGGUAACGGCUCACCAAGCCUACGAUCAGUAACUGGUGUGAGAGGACGAUCAGACACACUGGAACUGAGACACGGUCCAGACUCCUACGGGAGGCAGCAGUGGGGAAUUUUCCGCAAUGGGCGAAAGCCUGACGGAGCAAUACCGCGUGAGGGAAGAAGGCCUAUGGGUUGUAAACCUCUUUUUUCUAGGGAGGAACAAAAUGACGUGUACCUGAAGAAUAAGCAUCG
rnacentral:rRNA from 1 species